rnacentral:lncRNA from 1 species
UGCAUAACAAUAUCUAACAUGUUACAGAAUAAUUUUAAGGCGGGUACAAAAUGAAUUUUAAAGUUGGUACAAAAUGAACAAAGCAGACAGAGGAGGAGAUCAUAUUAGGAUAGUCCAUAAGAUGUAUGCUUUGAUAAUCUGACCGAGGAAUAGAUCAUAGAAUAAAUAAUAUUCAAAAUGAAUCAGAAAUUAUAGUAUCCUGAAUAAUCUAACCAAUCUCUAACUCAAUACAGAAAUAAUUUGAACAAUAAAUCCGUAUACAUCAAAUUGAGUUCCAAAAUACCAAAAUCAUACACAUCAUUCCAGAAUCUACAAAAUAAUAUUGAAACAACAAAUCAUAAUUAUAUAGGUUUUUUAAUAAAUGAAAUUAAACAUGUCAAAGGAGGAAAGUUAAAUAUUAAAGACCAACACAAAAAGUAACAAAAUGAGAUUUUAAAGAUCAAAUUUUUAGGUCAAAAAAGUAACAAAUACAACCUAUAUAUAUUGAAAGAUACAAAAAAGUAUUAAAGUAAACAUUUUUAAGACAAAAAAUGACAAAGUAGCUUAGUAUAGAAGUAUACAAAAUGAACCACACAUUAGAGUAUAUCUCAAUCAUCUAAAUCAUGUGUAACUCAAUAGAAUUAAUUUGAACAAUAAAUAAAGAACAUCAAACUGCAUUCAAAAAUAUCAAAAUCAUAAACACCAAUCCAAAAGCAACAAAACAUAAUUGAG